GGAUCAGACUGGCUUGUUUGGGUCACCGGUGCCAAGUUUUUUCUUUCUUUUUCUUUUUUUCCAAUAAGAAUCUACGUCUGAGCAUGGACGGAAUCCCAGAAUCAAAUCACUGGAUCAAUACUUGGUCACCAAACACAUUCGAGACCUCAAAAGCUCAAAGGCUGUAGGGUAGGUACCCUUGCUACCUACUCUACCUACAGACAAAGACGCUGAGAAAUCAGAUAACUUGUCCAAGGUCAUGGACAGCUGGGACUAGACCCAUGGCUUGUCACACUCUACCAGCCUUAUUCUUAACCUCUCUGCCUGAUGCCUCUUGACCCACAUUCGACUUUGAAAAAGUUUUCGCACUUGGUUCAUCGGAAAAAGCCACACACAGCUGCCCGGAGGACUCUGUUAAUCAGUAGCUGGUUGCUUCUGGCCCAGUGGGCAACAUCAGAGGCAGAAAGUACAGUACAGAGAGAACCGCAGGCCAGCAGUUGCAUCUGAACCCACGCUCUUCCUCCCAGCCCUUUCCCUUGUCUUGACUCACAACCUAGUGUCCUCAGUAUCGCCCAGCACGUGAGGCAGCCGGUUCACUCCAGCCUUGACCAGGGCCAUCGCGGGAUCAGAGCCUCCUC
rnacentral:lncRNA from 1 species